GAGUUUGAUCUUGGCUCAGAACGAACGCUGGCGGCAUGCCUAACACAUGCAAGUCGAACGAACUCUUCGGAGUUAGUGGCGCACGGGUGCGUAACGCGUGGGAAUCUGCCCUUGGGUACGGAAUAACUCAGAGAAAUUUGUGCUAAUACCGUAUAAUGACUUCGGUCCAAAGAUUUAUCGCCCAAGGAUGAGCCCGCGUAAGAUUAGCUAGUUGGUGGGUAAAGGCCUACCAAGGCUACGAUCUUUAGCUGGUCUGAGAGGAUGAUCAGCCACACUGGGACUGAGACACGGCCCAGACUCCUACGGGAGGCAGCAGUGGGGAAUAUUGGACAAUGGGCGAAAGCCUGAUCCAGCAAUGCCGCGUGAGUGAUGAAGGCCUUAGGGUUGUAAAGCUCUUUUACCCGGGAUGAUAAUGACAGUACCGGGAGAAUAAGCUCCGGCUAACUCCGUGCCAGCAGCAGCCGCAGUAAU
rnacentral:rRNA from 1 species